rnacentral:sRNA from 1 species
UAUACGCCUCUGCAUUAACGAUUGGAGUGGCAUCCUUUUUAAAACCUUUGUUAAUUUAAACUGAAACUAAAGCAUAAAAAAACCAUUAAUGUUUAAAAUAAUUAAUGGUUUUGUGUUUUAAAAAGAUAUAACGGAAAGCGUGUUAAAAU